AUUGAUAGUUUGAUGGGGAUAGCAUUGAAUCUACAAAUCACUUUGAAGCUUGCACUGGUGAAUGCCAUCAGUUGUGCUAAUAAGAAAAGGCUGCCUGGGACUGGGCACAUUCAAAAUGUCAGUUCCAUCUUCCCUUCUCUUUGCCAGCCACAUGUACAGUAAGGAGCAGGGAACAUGGCAUUAGUCAAGCAAACCCUUGGUCUGGAGAGCAUAUGGCAUUUCCAGGUAACACUCUACCCUUGUCUGGAGAGCAUUUACAUUAGGUAUAUUUCCUAAUGCUAUCCCUCUCCCCUACCCCCACCCCAUGACAGGCCCCAGUGUGUGAUGUUCCCCUUCCUGUUCAAUGCAAACCAAAACCACAGUGAGAUACCAUCUCACACCAGUUAGAAUGGCAAUCAGCAAGGGGAUUUCAAGUUUGGAA
rnacentral:lncRNA from 1 species